rnacentral:rRNA from 1 species
CUCAGAUUGAACGCUGGCGGCAGGCCUAACACAUGCAAGUCGAACGGUAACAGGAAGCAGCUUGCUGCUUUGCUGACGAGUGGCGGACGGGUGAGUAAUGUCUGGGAAACUGCCUGAUGGAGGGGGAUAACUACUGGAAACGGUGGCUAAUACCGCAUAACGUCGCAAGACCAAAGAGGGGGACCUUCGGGCCUCUUGCCAUCAGAUGUGCCCAGAUGGGAUUAGCUAGUUGGUGAGGUAACGGCUCACCAAGGCGACGAUCCCUAGCUGGUCUGAGAGGAUGACCAGCCACACUGGAACUGAGACACGGUCCAGACUCCUACGGGAGGCAGCAGUGGGGAAUAUUGCACAAUGGGCGCAAGCCUGAUGCAGCCAUGCCGCGUGUAUGAAGAAGGCCUUCGGGUUGUAAAGUACUUUCAGCGGGGAGGAAGGUGUUGUGGUUAAUAACCACAGCAAUUGACGUUACCCGCAGAAGAAGCACCGGCUAACUCCGUGCCAGCAGCCGCGGUAAUACGGAGGGUGCAAGCGUUAAUCGGAAUUACUGGGCGUAAAGCGCACGCAGGCGGUCUGUCAAGUCGGAUGUGAAAUCCCCGGGCUCAACCUGGGAACUGCAUUCGAAACUGGCAGGCUUGAGUCUUGUAGAGGGGGGUAGAAUUCCAGGUGUAGCGGUGAAAUGCGUAGAGAUCUGGAGGAAUACCGGUGGCGAAGGCGGCCCCCUGGACAAAGACUGACGCUCAGGUGCGAAAGCGUGGGGAGCAAACAGGAUUAGAUACCCUGGUAGUCCACGCCGUAAACGAUGUCUACUUGGAGGUUGUGCCCUUGAGGCGUGGCUUCCGGAGCUAACGCGUUAAGUAGACCGCCUGGGGAGUACGGCCGCAAGGUUAAAACUCAAAUGAAUUGACGGGGGCCCGCACAAGCGGUGGAGCAUGUGGUUUAAUUCGAUGCAACGCGAAGAACCUUACCUGGUCUUGACAUCCACGGAAGUUUUCAGAGAUGAGAAUGUGCCUUCGGGAACCGUGAGACAGGUGCUGCAUGGCUGUCGUCAGCUCGUGUUGUGAAAUGUUGGGUUAAGUCCCGCAACGAGCGCAACCCUUAUCCUUUGUUGCCAGCGGUCCGGCCGGGAACUCAAAGGAGACUGCCAGUGAUAAACUGGAGGAAGGUGGGGAUGACGUCAAGUCAUCAUGGCCCUUACGACCAGGGCUACACACGUGCUACAAUGGCGCAUACAAAGAGAAGCGACCUCGCGAGAGCAAGCGGACCUCAUAAAGUGCGUCGUAGUCCGGAUUGGAGUCUGCAACUCGACUCCAUGAAGUCGGAAUCGCUAGUAAUCGUGGAUCAGAAUGCCACGGUGAAUACGUUCCCGGGCCUUGUACACACCGCCCGUCACACCAUGGGAGUGGGUUGCAAAAGAAGUAGGUAGCUUAACCUUCGGGAGGGCGCUUACCACUUUGUGAUUCAUGACUGGGGUGAAGUCGUAACAAGGUAACCGUAGGGGAACCUGCGGUUGGA